GUCUCGUUGGUGUAGUUGGUUAUCACGUGGGUCUCAUAUCAUCACAUAUGACUACUAAAAAUAGUGGAUAUCCCAAGGCCGCCAGUUCGAGUCUGGCACGGGACA
rnacentral:tRNA from 1 species